GACGAACGCUGGCGGCGUGCCUAAUACAUGCAAGUAGAACGCUGAGGAGAGGAGCUUGCUCUUCUUGGAUGAGUUGCGAACGGGUGAGUAACGCGUAGGUAACCUGCCUUGUAGCGGGGGAUAACUAUUGGAAACGAUAGCUAAUACCGCAUAACAAUGGGUGACACAUGGCAUUUAUUUGAAAGGGGCAAUUGCUUCACUACAAGAUGGACCUGCGUUGGAUUAGCUAGUAGGUGAGGUAAUGGCUCACCUAGGCGACGAUACAUAGCCGACCUGAGAGGGUUGUCGGCCACCCUGGGAAUGGGACACGGCCCAAACUCCUACGGGAGGCAGCAGGAGGGAAUCUUCGGCAAUGGGGGCAACCCUGACCGAGCAACGCCGCGUGAGUGAAGAAGGUUUUCGGAUCGUAAAGCUCUGUUGUGAGUCAAGAACGGGUGUGAGAGUGGAAAGUUCACACUGUGACGGUAGCUUACCAGAAAGGGACGGCUAACUACGUG
rnacentral:rRNA from 1 species